UACGUAGGGCGCAAGCGUUGUCCGGAUUUAUUGGGCGUAAAGAGCUCGUAGGCGGCCUGUCGCGUCGACCGUGAAAACCCGCAGCUCAACUGCGGGCUUGCGGUCGAUACGGGCAGGCUGGAGUUCGGUAGGGGAGACUGGAAUUCCUGGUGUAGCGGUGAAAUGCGCAGAUAUCAGGAGGAACACCGGUGGCGAAGGCGGGUCUCUGGGCCGAUACUGACGCUGAGGAGCGAAAGCGUGGGGAGCGAACAGG
rnacentral:rRNA from 1 species